GAACCAAAGACAAUAGUUGAGAUUCCUGUUUUCAGACAGGCAGUUGCUGUCUAAGAAAUUUAGUGUUUUAAACUGGAAUUCCUUUCCAUUGUGCUUCACUUGUAAAUUUUUAAACUAGCUGAAGGAAUCCAUAAAUUAAUAUGAAAAUGAGUGUUUUCAGUUUGGUGCAAAGCAGAGGAAAAAAGAGAAAACAUUCAUUUCUCUUCCCCAGUGACUGAAACCAUUUCUGUACCUGAGUGGUUCUAAGAUACCCUCCUGGUCUUAGUGUUGAAGGGCUUGGAAUAAAAGAGAUGUAGCACUCAGCAACUCUUUGGCUAAUUAUGUUUACAAAGUGCUUUCCACU
rnacentral:lncRNA from 1 species